rnacentral:rRNA from 1 species
AGAGUUUGAUCCUGGCUCAGGAUGAACGCUGGCGGUCUGCUUAACACAUGCAAGUCGAACGCAAGUAGAAAUACUUGAGUGGCGGACGGGUGAGUAACGCGUGAGAAUCUGCCUUUUGGUCGGGGACAACCACUGGAAACGGUGGCUAAUACCGGAUAUGCCUAACGGUGAAAGAUUAAUUGCCAGAAGAGGAGCUCGCGUCUGAUUAGCUAGUUGGUGAGGUAAGAGCUCACCAAGACAUCGAUCAGUAGCUGGUCUGAGAGGAUGAUCAGCCACACUGGGACUGAGACACGGCCCAGACUCCUACGGGAGGCAGCAGUGGGGAAUUUUCCGCAAUGGGCGAAAGCCUGACGGAGCAAGACCGCGUGAGGGAGGAAGGCUCUUGGGUUGUAAACCUCUUUUGUCAGGGAAGAACACAAUGACGGUACCUGAAGAAUCAGCAUCGGCUAACUCCGUGCCAGCAGCCGCGGUAAUACGGGGGAUGCAAGCGUUAUCCGGAAUUAUUGGGCGUAAAGCGUCCGCAGGUGGCUAAUCAAGUCUGCUGUCAAAGGUUGGGGCUUAACCCCAAAAAGGCAGUGGAAACUGAGAAGCUAGAGUGCAGUAGGGGUAGAGGGAAUUCCCGGUGUAGCGGUGAAAUGCGUAGAGAUCGGGAAGAACAUCGGUGGCGAAAGCGCUCUACUGGACUGCAACUGACACUCAGGGACGAAAGCUAGGGGAGCGAAUGGGAUUAGAUACCCUAGUAGUCC